GGAGGCCGAGCCACCGUCUGAUGCCGGCCCAAGGUCACCGAGGGGCAGGGGCCACAACUCGCGCGACCGCUGCACCCUGGCGUCGGGCCACGACUCGCCCGGCCGCUGCACCCUGGCAACGCAGGGCCAAAGGCGACGACCGCGCUUCAUCAUCACCGAGAGGAGCGACGGCCGUCCACGUCGCCAUCCCCAUCGUCCUUCAGUGAAACUGCAGGUGCUAUUCUUGCAAAGGCGGAGAUGGAAGAGCACAAAGGGCUAAACUAGCUCAUACCGGAGAAUGAAACUGAACUUCUCUAUUUAUCGAGUGUAUCAUUGUACCACGGGAAGACUCUCCCCCAAGAUCAAUGCACAUGUCUGCCAGGAAUCUAGGAAUCAAGAACAACAUUGAUCCAAGGGCACGGUGCCAUGACUGCUGAUUCUUUAGUGAUAAAAUGUGUCUUCUAUUUAUGCACUCUUUCAAUCAAUCAUCAAUUUGCUCCCAGUUAUUCAUGUUUAUGUACGUGUCUUCUGUCUCUAAUCUGCUGUUCUUUAUGCUGGUUUCUCUCCCAGUUGAUUGUUCGUCCUCUAUAGUGUUGUCAAUGAAAAGGCUCCAAGCGGUGUCACGGUCAGGAAUCUCUUUUCCAGGCAGCCGAAGAUGGUCAGGUAAUCAACCAUAUCACGGACCGCGAAGUUGUACAUGUCUUUUGGCGGCUGUUUGGAUUGGGGCCCAAAACCUGGCUCGCCCUGCUUGCCUAGAGCCCCUGCAUGUUAUGCGCGGGUGAAUCGAGGGCGUGGAUGAACUUUAUUAUAAAGGUUGCACAGUGCAUUGGGUGGACAGGCUCAAUGCUUCGUCUGCAGGCUACCCUGACAAUGAUUACCGUGCUCCUGAGUCCGAGGAGACCACUUGCUGGUGGCUAGAGAACCACAUCCCCAGCGCCAUGCUCCUGAGUCCGCUUCUACUGCCUCCAGUCAGAAUACCUACCUACAACAGCAAGCUUUCAUUUCAUAUCUGGACAAUGAAUGCAUGCUCUUUCAUUUCAUAUAUGGACGGCAAGGGCGUCUUCAGCAGCGUCUAAACAUGAUUCGACUGCCCACUCGAUGCCAAGGGAGAUGCAUCGCUGUCGUCGUCAAGGGACUCAACCAGCGCGACCUCCAGAGAUUCACUUAAUUUGGUAUAAAAACAAUAUAGCCACCGCCAUGUCGAUGAACUCUGAAGCUGAAUUGUUUUUUGUGGUUUCAUAUUUUAUUUGGAAGAAUGUCUGGGACCAACUAUCAUUUAAAACACGAAGGAGGCAUUUGCGUGAUUGUCCAACAUGGCUGUCAUGCAUCCUCAAGCAGGAGGAACCGAUUUCUAAGUUGUAGGAGCAACAGGAAGGAGAACAUCUAUGCGCUCGGUCAUACUCUCAGGAAACCAUGAUGUGUUAUUUCCAUUGAAAUGAAUUACUGGUUUAUAUGUGUUUGCACGACAAUGAUACAAGCAAGUACAAGACGGUUGUGAGACCAACAUCUCCUUGGGCUCUCCCAGGCCUCCAUUUCUCCGAAGGCUGAUCAUGUUGACUUCUUAAGCCAGACAAGCUGACGUUGUUUAACAUCUUGGAGGUGGAUGUGCUUGGCCAGAAGAAGGCAUGGAGUCAACCUCGCCACCUCUGCACGUCGCAGUAGUGCUUGUAUGCUGGAAUUUUGGAGUAGCAGUAAAGUUUGGCAGCUGAGUUGCUUGCAGUAGUUGAGUACUCCUGUAUGUGUUAGAGCAAGAUUGCGCUCACCAAGAUCUUCAAUAGGAGCCAUGUUGAAUUCACCAGGAUCUUCCAUGUUUAAGUCACCAGGAUCUCCACCAGGUGCUGUGCCGUGCUGGACGAUCUGAAGCUGGAUUUGCUGCUCGGGCUGGGGCUGGAGCCGGAGCUGGAGCUGGCGUCACCUGCCUCUGCCAGGAGCUGCAACUGCCUCUUCCUUGAGGUGCUCCUGCCUUUGCCUGGACCUACUGCUGGCUGGAGUUGCGCCUGCUGAUGGCGGAGGAGGGAAGCGGAGGAUCUGCUGGAGGAGGGAGGCGGAGCUGCUGGAUCUGGACAGAGGGCUGAGGAGGAGGAGGGAGGUGGAAGAUCUGGGCAGAGGGUGGAGGAGGAGGGAGGCGGAGCUUCUGGAUCCGGGAGGAAGAGGGCUGGAGGUAGAGGAAGGAGGCGGAAUUCAAAUUGAGGGGGUAACCUGGUCUUUUUCACGCUUUUCGCCUGGUCGGAGAAUUUCUCCAGCGACUGAUUGCAUUCUUAUGCUUCCAGGUUU